rnacentral:rRNA from 1 species
CCUACGGGAGGCAGCAGUAGGGAAUAUUGCUCAAUGGGGGAAACCCUGAAGCAGCAACGCCGCGUGGAGGAUGAAGGUUUUCGGAUUGUAAACCACGUUUGAUAGAGAAGAGAAUGACGGGAUCUAACGAAGAAGCACCGGCUAACUCCGUGCCAGCAGCCGCGGUAAGAAGGAGGGUGCAAGCGUGACUCGGAAUCACUGGGCGUACAGAGCGCGUAGGCGGGAUAUCAAGUCAGAUGUGAAAUCCUAGGGCUUAACCAUAGAACUGCAUUUGAAACUGUUAUUCUAGAGUAUGGUAGAGGUAGGUUGAAUUCUUGGUGUAGGGGUCAAAUCCGUAGAGAUCAAGAGGAAUACUCAUUGCGAAGGCGACCUGCUAGAACAUACCUGACGCUGAUGCGCGAAAGCGUGGGGAGCAAACAGGAUUAGAUACCCCAGUAGUC